rnacentral:rRNA from 1 species
GACGAACGCUGGCGGCGUGCUUAACACAUGCAAGUCGAACGGAAAGGCCCUGCUUUUGUGGGGUGCUCGAGUGGCGAACGGGUGAGUAACACGUGAGUAACCUGCCCUUGACUUUGGGAUAACUUCAGGAAACUGGGGCUAAUACCGGAUAUGAGCUCCUGCUGCAUGGUGGGGGUUGGAAAGUUUCGGCGGUUGGGGAUGGACUCGCGGCUUAUCAGCUUGUUGGUGGGGUAGUGGCUUACCAAGGCUUUGACGGGUAGCCGGCCUGAGAGGGUGACCGGCCACAUUGGGACUGAGAUACGGCCCAGACUCCUACGGGAGGAAGCAGUGGGGAAUAUUGCACAAUGGGCGGAAGCCGGAUGCAGCAACGCCGCGUGCGGGAUGACGGCCUUCGGGGUGUAAACCGCUUUCGCCUGUGACGAAGCGUGAGUGACGGUAAUGGGUAAAGAAGCACCGGCUAACUACGU